CGCGUAGGCGGCUCAUGGUGUCGGAUGUGAAAGCCCGGGGCUCAACCCCGGAGGUGCAUCCGAAACUCAUGGGCUGGAGGUCGGAAGAGGAGGGUGGAAUACCCAGUGUAGAGGUGAAAUUCGUAGAUAUUGGGUGGAACACCGGUGGCGAAAGCGGCUCUCUGGUCCGAACCUGACGCUGAGGCGCGAAAGCGUGGGGAGCAAACAGGAUUAGAUACCCUGGUAGUCCACGCCCUAAACGAUGCGGGCUAGACGUUGGGGGGCUUGCCCCUCGGUGUCGCAGCUAACGCGUUAAGCCCGCCGCCUGGGGAGUACGGCCGCAAGGUUAAA
rnacentral:rRNA from 1 species